GCCAGAGUGGUGAAAUUGGUAUACACGCAGUCUUCAGAAGGCUGUGCCGUAAGGCUUGCAGGUUCGAGUCCUGUCUCUGGCACCA
rnacentral:tRNA from 1 species